rnacentral:tRNA from 1 species
CAAAGGGUAGUUUAUUUAAAAUCCCGGCUUUGGGGGCCGGGGAAGGGGGUUUAAUGCCUUCUCUUUUGA